AAUAAGAGAGAACGAGAGGAAAUUAUUAUUGGUCGUGAAUGGCGAAUUGGCUCCUUCGCCUUCCUCCGUCGCUCUUCGCCACCAUCAGUUUUGCGGUCUCUCGCUUCUUCUUCUUAUUCCUUUCGUAUUAUCAGUUUCAAUUGCACAGGUCACUGAGGAGCAGCUUGAUGGUUGUUCAUCGGCUUUGGGCAGGUCUAAGUCUCUUUUACAAGUUCAUCUUUCUUUGUCACGACUAGUUUUGGUUGUUUAGGUUGUUGAAUGUUUCAUCACAUUCUGGGUCGGGUCUUGCUUUGUCUCCGCCGUUUUCUCCACCGCUUCAUAGAUCCGCCGUGUUCGAGCUCGUGGCCGCCAAUCUAAGUACACUUCAAUUAAGCCAUUGGGAGAUCGAGUUUUGGUGAAGAUCAAGGAGGCAGAACUUCGCGAUUUGUCAUCUCCAUACCACUAGCUUUUCUGCUCCACUUGUCCCUCCCAGAAAUUCGCGAUUUGUUAUCCAAAUCGGAGAAAUUUGUGGGUUUGAUGCAGCAGUACUAUCGGAGAAAUCUGUGGAGAUUAUGAAGAAGUUCUCGGAGCAGUACGCUCGUUUCUCAGGGACUUACUUAUGUGUUGAUAAAGGAGUUACUUCUGUCGUCGUCAAGAUUAUAUGCUUUGGAGGAGAUUGGUUCUUUCUACUUGUAGAUAAUGACUUGCCAGAAGAUGUUUGGCGUUGUUUUCUUGAUAUAUACAGUAGGCAGUAGCUAUUAGAAAUCUUGAUGUGGAAUUUUGUUGAGUAGGUGGUGUGAUCAUCAAAAGUUUCUAUCAUGCGAUUGGUUAUGAACUACUUGAAGAAAAACUGAGUUAGUUCAAGUGAAGAUCUUGAAAUCUAGUGCUUAUUAACUAAUGAAGAUGCUGAGUUUCUUCUUG